UUUGUGAUUCAUUUCUGUGGAUAUGAAAAGUUUAAGCUUCUGUUCUUCUAAUUAUUUGCUGCUUCUGCUGAAUCAAUUAAGAAAUGAUCAGCAAAGCAAAGUUCUAAUUUAUUUUUACUCUGAGUGAUUAAAAAGAUUCACAGGGUCUGGGAAGCAUUGGUAAAUUGCUCCAGCUCACUGACAUACAUGUCAAACUUUUUGCAUGCCCACUCACCAGCCUGACUUUCGUUUUCUGUCUUGGUGUAGCAUGUUUCUGUUUCUGUGAUACAUCUGGAGCAAUAUGCCACAGGAUUCCAAGGCUCCCCACAGAGUUGAAGGAGUGCAUCCCCCAAUCCAUCACUUCUUGCGUCAGCCAGCACAGCAGUGGGCUUGCUCAUGUAGUAGUAUGCAAGUAUUGGUACGGUUGUCAACAGAUUCCUCUAACGUGUUCACUUUACUGUGUUGUACGUUACUUCAAGCCCAGGAGCUCAUCAACACAGAGGAAUGCUUUACCUGUGCUCUUCUUCAGGACAGCCAUUACCCUCUGGAGCAGCUCCAUGACAUACUGUUUCUAUGACAUGCUGUGUGUUGUCUUGCAGGUAUUCUCUCAGUUUUAGUAGUCAAUGUUCCACGCUUACCAGGUUUCCUCUGUUGCACACCAUUUCAUCCACACUCCUCACUAAGAUUCAUUUCCACAGACAAGGACCUGCUGUAACUUGUUUACGAUUUGUCUACAGAUGGCAUACGCUAUGAGUGGGUGAAUUUUAAAUUUGUCGGUCGCAGUGCUUUGGAUCUGUCCUCUGCAGUGCAACUUGCCACCAAAAAUAUCCAGUGAAUAUUUACAGGCUCCAGUGGACUUCUGGGGUAUCUGUGGAUGGAACUCCUCCCGAGUCUCGCCCAACUCACCUGUGGCUGGUCCCCACCUGUGGAAGAUAAGCAAUUAGGAGCUCUUACUUAAGGUGUCGUGGCUUCCCCUUGUCGUCAUGUCUGAAGACAUGUCGAGUGAAUGAGGUCGGAUUGUGUGGAGUGGCUGCUGGUUUGGUUUGCGAGUUGGAUUCCCUCCAAGGGGACCCCCUCAAGCCCCCUUGGAACCACCUCCCUUCCUGGAUGUUUCCUCACCUGUCUUUGUUUCACGAAAAUCGUCUAUCUGUAUAUGAACACUUUGAACUGCCUUUGUGAGCCCUGCCUACUCACCCAGUGCCUGACGAGACAAAAACUAUAUUCAAACAUGUAUUUUAAAAUUCACCACAACUUUCUGUGUUCGUUACUUUAAACAAAACAUAACCUUUUGAAACCAGAUUAUUGUUUUUCACACAACCUGAGAAAGUUAACAAAUGUGUAUUUUUAUUUAUUUUGUAUUUAUUUAUUUUACUUACUCGGGUUUACUAGGAGCAUUGUUAUGCAAAGAUCCAACGAGCCAGGAAAGAAAAAAAACAAAUGGAAUUCCCAAUCCAUCCAAAAAAUACAGCUCCAGUUUUGGCGAUCUAUGUAUCUGUGCCAGUGUGUUGCACACAUAGGGUUUAUGGAUGCAGGUCACUAACCAAACUCCUAAGCCAUCUUAUGGGCUAAAUAAAUAUAACAAAUAGGGUAAUUUCUGGCUACAGAAGAUCAAGAUGAAGAUACCAUAAGACCAAACUGGAGUUUUAAAAUAGGAUCACUUUUCAAAGAAAUGUCUUCAAGCAUUCCUUCGGCGCAACCAAUUCGUCCAGCAUCUUUAAUUUCAUAACUGCACGAGCAAUCAAAAUCUUAAGUGUCUCAACAGCAAAUUAUUGCUACAAAAACAAGAUGAUUUGAGAAUAACAACAGCAGUAUUUUAGCAGGUGUGGUGGAUGUGCGCACUCUAAUUAGGGCAGGACACCAGGAGAUUGAUGUGGAGACAGAUUGAGCCACCUGUUCGUUUCCUCAAUAUUUCCCAUCUCCAGUCCUCCUCAGCAUCCCCUCUGCAAUCACAGGCAAGGUUAAGAUAUUCAACUCUAAUGAAAAUCAGAAAGCUGACAACACGUCAAGCUGUAUUUUAUCAAGCUGUGUCAUAUUCCAUCAUAUCAGCAUAAAAUCAACUGUUUUUUGACCUUUCUGGCACUGCUACAGCACGACUUUGCCAGACAAGUUAGAGAAAAAAUUAGACUUAAACUGGGGGAAACUGAGUUAGUGAGUGUAUUAUUUUAACUGCGGAGAAAAAAUAACCUUGACUGUUUUGACUGAAUGCAAGUAAUGAAAAAUGUCAAUAUUAUUAGAAUGAUGUUCUCAAAGGUUAAACUUUUCGGUGAAGAAAAAAACAAGUAACACUAUAACAAACAACUCGAUAACACUAUGUUUAGUAACAUAACCUUAGCUUAGCAGAGUCAUAUAUGAUAAUGAAUGAAAGUGUCACCAGCACCACCAUCCUUACACUGACGGUGCUCUCUUACAUUUCACAGAAGAGGUGGCCCAAUAAUGCAGGUGGUGAAAAUUAAACUGUCACUCACUUAACACACACAGAGAUUCAUAGUUACACAUUUUAUAAAAAUAAAAAAAAUAAAUAAAUAAAAACAUGACAGACUACUGCAAAAACAUGGCAGUUAAUUUGAUGGCUUUUGAGUAAUGGGAGUGGAUUUUGAACUGCUGAAUCCCAGGAAUGGGCACUGUACUCAGUACAACUAGGCUGCUCUGCUAGCUAGGUGAAGUAAUAGUAAACUUCAAAGUAAACACAAGCAAUAAUGUGAUGCUACUGCAAGUUUGAUCAUUCAAGUGUUUCCCACCCAUAUUUACAUUUACAGAAGGCUAAACUAGUUAAUCAUUGAUCUUUAUAUUUAAUUAUUAUUAUCUGCUCCACUAACCACUGUCUUUCCUUAGAGUUUCCUCUCCUACUUUUAUUUUUCUUUAUUUAUCUAAAUAUAUAUAUACAUAUACAGUUAAGCCCAAAAUUAUUCAUACCCUAUGCAAAAAUUGCUAAUUUCAUAUUUUUGUCGAUGAAAAGAUGGACUGAGAAAACUUUGGUUUCAAUCCAUUUUAGUUAUGGCAGAUUACAAACCAAUACAUCAAAUCUGGUUUCUUUGCUGUUGACUUAAAGGUUACAUAAUCAACAUUUUAGGUUUUUAUGCAUGUCCAUAAUUAGUCAUACCCCUGUAUGAUCAUAGAAUGAUCAUGGAGUUUAAGCUAUUGUUGGGUGUCAAAAGUAGGGGUCAUCAUUAUUAAUGCCAAACCUAUAACCCACUACCCUUAUGCAAUCCCCUUUGCACCCUGUUAUGUCAUAAACUGAAAUAAAUUCAGUGACUGUGUGCAUUCAUUCUCACUUCAUGGUCAACAGUCAAACCAUUGACAUGGCGAAGAACAAGGAACUGAGUGAAGACCUUCGGUCGCGCAUUGUGAAUGCACACAAGGAUGGUAAAGGCUAUAAAGCUAUAGGAAAGCAAUUUCAAGUGCCAGUGGCUACGGUACAGAGCAUUAUCACCAAGUUCAAGAAGUUCCACACUGUAGAGAAUCUCAAGGGGCGUGGCCGGAAACCAAAGAUGACAUCAAGAUUGUCAAGAAAAGUUGUGAGACAGGUCAGCAAUAAUCCUCGGAUCACCACCAAAGCUAUCCUGAAAAACUUAAGUGACUCUGGAA